rnacentral:rRNA from 1 species
UCAGAACGAACGCUGGCGGCAGGCUUAACACAUGCAAGUCGAGCGCCCCGCAAGGGGAGCGGCAGACGGGUGAGUAACGCGUGGGAACGUACCCUUUGCUACGGAAUAGCUCCGGGAAACUGGAAUUAAUACCGUAUGUGCCCUUCGGGGGAAAGAUUUAUCGGCAAAGGAUCGGCCCGCGUUGGAUUAGCUAGUUGGUGGGGUAAAGGCCUACCAAGGCGACGAUCCAUAGCUGGUCUGAGAGGAUGAUCAGCCACAUUGGGACUGAGACACGGCCCAAACUCCUACGGGAGGCAGCAGUGGGGAAUAUUGGACNAAUGGGCGCAAGCCUGAUCCAGCCAUGCCGCGUGAGUGAUGAAGGCCCUAGGGUUGUAAAGCUCUUUCACCGGAGAAGAUAAUGACGGUUCCGAGAGA